rnacentral:rRNA from 1 species
CCACGGGGGGCAGCAGUGGGGAAUCUUAGACAAUGGGCGCAAGCCUGAUCUAGCCAUGCCGCGUGAGUGACGAAGGCCUUAGGGUCGUAAAGCUCUUUCGCUGGGGAAGAUAAUGACGGUACCCAGUAAAGAAACCCCGGCUAACUCCGUGCCAGCAGCCGCGGUAAUACGGAGGGGGUUAGCGUUGUUCGGAAUUACUGGGCGUAAAGCGCGCGUAGGCGGAUCAGAAAGUUGGGGGUGAAAUCCCAGGGCUCAACCCUGGAACUGCCCUCAAAACUCCUGGUCUUGAGUUCGAGAGAGGUGAGUGGAAUUCCGAGUGUAGAGGUGAAAUUCGUAGAUAUUCGGAGGAACACCAGUGGCGAAGGCGGCUCACUGGCUCGAUACUGACGCUGAGGUGCGAAAGCGUGGGGAGCAAACAGGAUUAGAUACCCUAGUAGUC